GAUGAACGCUAGCGGCAGGCUUAACACAUGCAAGUCGAGGGGCAGCACGAGGUAGCAAUACUUCGGUGGUGAGCGGCGAACGGGUGAGUAACACGUAGGUGAUCUGCCCAUCAGACGGGGACAACGAUUGGAAACGAUCGCUAAUACCGGAUAGGACGAAAGUUUAAAGGUGCUUCUGGCACCGCUGAUGGAUGAGCCUGCGGCGCAUUAGCUAGUUGGUAGGGUAAAGGCCUACCAAGGCGACGAUGCGUAGCCGACCUGAGAGGGUGAACGGCCACACUGGGACUGAGACACGGCCCAGACUCCUACGGGAGGCAGCAGUAGGGAAUC
rnacentral:rRNA from 1 species